AUUGAACGCUGGCGGCAGGCCUAACACAUGCAAGUCGAACGAGUGGCGGACGGGUGAGUAAUGUCUGGGAAACUGCCUGCUGGAGGGGGAUAACUACUGGAAACGGUAGCUAAUAACUCCUACCAUCAUAUGUGCCCAGAUGGGAUGAGCUAGUUGGUGGGGUAACGGCUCACAAAGGCGACAAUCCCUAGCUGGUCUGAGAGGAUGACCAGCGAGACUGGAACGGAGACACGGGCCAGACGCCUCAGGGAGGCAGCAGUGGGGAAUAUUGCACAAUGGGCGCAAGCCUGAUGAAGCCAUGCCGCGGGUAUGAAGAAGGCCUUCGGGUUGUAAAGUACGUUCAGCGGGGAGGCGUUACCCGCAGAAGAAGCACCGGCUAACUCCGUGCCAGCAGCCGCGGUAAUAC
rnacentral:rRNA from 1 species